rnacentral:rRNA from 1 species
AGUCGAGCGGUAACAGGAAUUAGCUUGCUAAUUUGCUGACGAGCGGCGGACGGGUGAGUAACGCGUAGGAAUCUGCCUGGUAGUGGGGGACAACAUGUGGAAACGCAUGCUAAUACCGCAUACGCCCUACGGGGGAAAGGAGGGGAUCUUCGGACCUUUCGCUAUCAGAUGAGCCUGCGUGAGAUUAGCUAGUUGGUGGGGUAAAGGCUCACCAAGGCGACGAUCUCUAGCUGGUCUGAGAGGAUGAUCAGCCACACUGGGACUGAGACACGGCCCAGACUCCUACGGGAGGCAGCAGUGGGGAAUAUUGGACAAUGGGCGCAAGCCUGAUCCAGCCAUGCCGCGUGUGUGAAGAAGGCCUUCGGGUUGUAAAGCACUUUCAGAAGUGAGGAAGGGUGUGUAGUUAAUACCUACAUAUCUUGACGUUAGCUUCAGAAGAAGCACCGGCUAACUCUGUGCCAGCAGCCGCGGUAAUACAGAGGGUGCGAGCGUUAAUCGGAAUUACUGGGCGUAAAGCGCGCGUAGGUGGUUUGUUAAGUCGGAUGUGAAAGCCCAGGGCUCAACCUUGGAAUUGCACCCGAUACUGGCAAGCUAGAGUACGGUAGAGGGGUGUGGAAUUUCCUGUGUAGCGGUGAAAUGCGUAGAUAUAGGAAGGAACAUCAGUGGCGAAGGCGACACCCUGGACCGAUACUGACACUGA